UACAGAGGUCCCGAGCGUUGUUCGGAUUCACUGGGCGUAAAGGGUGCGUAGGUGGUGAGGUAAGUCGGAUGUGAAAUCUCCGAGCUCAACUCGGAAAUGGCAUUGGAAACUACCUUGCUAGAGGGUUGGAGGGGGGACUGGAAUACUUGGUGUAGCAGUGAAAUGCGUAGAUAUUCGCAAGAACACCAGUGGCGAAGGCGGCUCACUGGCCCGAUACUGACGCUGAGGCACGAAAGCGUGGGGAGCAAACAGG
rnacentral:rRNA from 1 species